AAAAUUGCAGGGCAAUUUGCAAUAAUGGCAAAGCAGCCCAUCUUCAAUAGAACCUCGAGAGUGGUUUGGGUUAUUGCCCUUCCAUUCUUGCGUAGACUGACAGAGUUCAAUUGUAUCUCUCUUCCCAGUCACUGAAUCUGUGUCUAAAAAAGAGAAAAAGACUACAAUGCCAUCAAGAUGAUAAUUAUACUCAGCAAUUUCUAUCCCCUUCAUUUUCUCACAUAUUUUAGAGCUAUCCAUUUCCCAGCAUCCCCAGGUCCAGUUGUGCUGAGAACUGGGAUGAGAUCAGAUUUCCUCAUGCAAAGAGAACAAAGUAGAAGUUGCAGAUAUGUAUCUGGAUCCUGGCAUCCCACCCAAGCUUUGUUCGGGCAGAUCUAGAAGAGUCUUUCCUCCAGGUAGAUCAGCCGUACCUCGAGCAGAGUCUCUCUGGGAGUCUCUACUGAAAGCCCAGGGUGUCCGACAAGUUAUGGCAGCCAUCUUGGAUCAUGAGGCAACAAGCCCAAGGACAAAAAGCCAACCUGCUGAGGAUGGUGAAGAGGAAAGAAAAGAGUCUGAGUCCUUACAAGCAUCCUUAAGGUGCCGAACCAGUCCUGAGACUGCCUCCCUUCGGGCUUCAUGAUCAUGAGACUGGUGAAGACUUGGCAAAAAUGUAGAUAUUACCUCAAGGUUUUAUGGAAAGAAGAUGAAGACUGUUGGUAGUUGAGAAGUUUCUUUAAAACAUGACAGUGUUGCAUAUAGACAAUAAUGUCAAGUGCAAUGUGAUUUUAAGAAAAA
rnacentral:lncRNA from 1 species